GCACACUGUCAGCCCAGAGACGAUAGGGCAAGCACGGCCGGGGACCACGCGGCGGAGCUCCACUCGGAUGGGAUAAAUACAACCACAUAAAAGCUCACAAUUAACCCCACUUUGUGUAUUUGUGUGUGCGCACGAGCUCAGGACUGGAGGGGACCAGACAUUUGCGUGGCUUUCUCUUUCUUUUAGGACAACCGCUUGUUCAAGUUUUCCUCGAAGUGCACCUGAAUAGGUUUUUGAUUUGGUUUGGCCAGGGACGACAUGGGGAGCGAACAAUACUUGCCGGAGCUUCAGGCGGAGAAGGACACGCUGGACCCGUCUUUCCAGCACUCUCUGCGGCUACUGGAGCAAGAAAUUGACAAGAUUCAGAAAGAUGAGGGCAAGGAGGAGGAGAAGUUCAUCGACGUCGUCAUCAACAAAAACAUGAAACUGGGACAGAAAGUUUUGAUACCAGUCAAGCAGUUUCCUAAAUUUAACUUUGUCGGCAAACUUCUCGGGCCACGUGGGAACUCGUUAAAGAGGCUACAGGAGGACACCCUCACAAAGAUGUCCAUUCUGGGCAAAGGGUCCAUGAGAGACAAAGACAAGGAAGAGGAGCUGCGCCAGAGUGGCGAGACCAAAUACCAGCACCUGAACGAAGACCUGCACGUCCUCAUCGAGGUGUUUGCCCCGCCGGCUGAGGCCUACGCCAGGAUGGGUCACGCCCUAGAGGAGAUCAAGAAGUUUCUUAUACCAGAUUACAACGAUGAGAUCAGACAGGCCCAGCUGCAGGAGCUCACAUACCUGAAUGGAGGCUCGGAGGAUGCUAAGGUGCCAGCAGUCAGGGGCAAGUCAACCCCCCGUGCAAGAGGGACACCUGUUCCAGGACCUCCCAGGAGUCGAGGAGGAGUACCCCCUUUGCAUGCGGCAAUGCCCAGGGGAGCGGCACCCAGAGGAGCUCCGCCAAGCCGCACACCGUCUGCCAGGGGGAGGGGGGUGCAACGAACCAGGGGAGCCCCCCCAGCAACUGGCUACCGACCAGCUCCACCCAUUGUCCAGGACACUUACGACGAAUAUGACUAUGAUGAUGGCUACGGAACUACGUAUGACGACCAAGGAUACGAGUCCUACGACAACAACUACACCAAUCAAGGACAGAACUCAGAUGACUACUAUGAAUAUGGACAAGGCGGUGAAUCGUAUGAGUCAUACGGUCAAGAAGAGUGGGCAAACAGUCGCGGCAAGGCGCAGUCAGCGAGGACGAUCAAGGGAGCGUACAGAGAGCAGCCGUACUCCAGAUACUGAACUGUGUCAUGGCCUACGCCCGAGUCUUCGUGGCAGUUCCAACCCAAGUUGACCUACCGGCCCAUCCAUGACCUCACUGGCACAGAAGAUGUGAUGAACCGUACAAAGAAAAUGAAACCCCAAAAGGCUCACAAAGGAUCACAAAGAUAUAUCUCCCAGUUGGCAAAUGUGUUGGACGAACAUGUUCACAGGUGAAUCCUGCAGGGGAAGUUGAGAUGCAAUAAAAGUGGUGAAAAGAAAAAAGGCAUUCUCUGCGAGAGUAAACCCGUCAGCCAAAUGGAGUUCCUCAUUCUCUCGAGGUGCUCUGUCUGUCAACAUUUCCCUCAGAUUUCCAUGGCCGCUGUGUAUUUGUUACAUAGACGCAGGAGUGCUCUGCACUGACUGUGAACCAGCUCGUUUCAUUAACACUGAGCAAGGGUGGCAUCUCCCUCCCCCAUUAACAUAACCUGCCACUUAUUAGCUGAGAAAACUAAAUAAAUGAUGCUUUAUAUGCAAAGGUGCGUGACAUCACGCACUUGUGGUGUGCUAAUGAACCUCCACACCAUCCACUUACAUACAUAAGUGCCUUACUGUUGUAUUGUUGACACUUUUAGAGGUUUAGUUUUAUUAAGAGUGUUAAAAAAGGGCAGCUAUUUUUUUCUUUCAUCUUGUUUUUUCCCCCCUUGGAAUUCUGUACGCAUUAUCAUGCUGUCAGAAAACUCCACCCAUCUAUAGUCUAUUCCGCCUGUACCUCUUAAUAAGAAUCGACUUCAAUGGCUGUUACAAAUCCAAAAUAGCUUUCAGUGGGAAUUACGGGGAGGUAGAACAUUCCGCCUGGUGCAUAAGUCCACAAAAGCCUGGCCUUAUUCCUUUGCGCCGUGUUAUGUCCUGGGUGCCAGACAAUGGUUUUCCAUUAGAGGAGACGAAGCCCGCCGGAGACCCUGGGCCGAGCCUCAGACAAUAACAAUCGACCUGACGCUUAGAUCCCUGCCUUCCCACCUUCGGGGACUGCCUGGCUCUCUGAAGUGACUUCAAAUGACAAUGUUAUCUGGAGCAGGCUGGUACCAGUUCAUAAAGUAAACAGGGCUUGUUUGAUUAAGAAUGCAUACAAUGAAAGCAGGCUGUGCUGCCUUUAUAAUAUGUUCCCGGAGGCUACGGCAGCCCGUUUCAGGCCACCGUGGACAAAAUGGGAUGGUCAUGGGACGGAAUGGGCAAACAUGGAAGGCCGUUUUUGCCUGGCGAAAUUUUCAAAGUGUCAAAACAUUUGACACGGCGGUCACGAUGCGGAUGAGAAACAGAGUCGGACGAAGUAAAAUAGGGUGAACCUGACAGUACGUAAUAGGGCAUAUCGACAAUGUCAUUCAAAGACUCAUUGGCAGCUCACAAAAAUGUAAUUGUAUAAUUUCACACUCACUGGUUGGGCAGGCAUUUCAGAGACUCAACUAUUUGUAUACAUGCAGUUGAAAAAUCUAUUUUCCAUGAUAUGUCCCCUUUAAACAAACAAGAAGAAAUUGUAGCCAACAAAUCUUCCAAUCAUUUUAAACACAACGUAAAACUAGGUAAGUGUCUCCUGCCUCUCCAAUAAAUGGCUUUUAUUGUGACGCAUGUAUUUCCUCCUAAUCGUGUUCAGGGUGUAAAGUUGCACCCCCUGCCUUUUGUUCUGUAAUUAACUGUCGGGCUCUUAAUGUGCUGAUGAUGAAUCAAUGUCCAAGUGCCUUGGAAGUGAGUGUUCAUGUGACCCGGGGUCGUUAAGUGGGAAGUGGGAUUGCCAGGGAUCGAUCAAGACGACGCUUUGACUGAAGCAGAACAGAGGAGGGAACGGACGAGUGGCAUAAUGCUCAUGUUUGUAAAAUCAAAUGAUAAUCACUGAGCGUUUGUGUGUGCUCUUUGCCAGUAGCUUUAAAGUAGCGGUGAUAUUAAAGCUAGGGUGGUAGAAAUACUGUUUUUACACUAAUAGGUCUGGUGGUCUUUAUUUUUGGAUUAAUAUUAAACAAUAUUAAUUGGUAUAUUACAAUUUGGUAUAUUACAAUUUACAAGUCGCAUUCCUGAUGGCGAAAGGGAAAAAUAAAAAGUUGCCUAUUAUAGGGAGGUGUUUAUUCGUCUCAAGCACAUGACAGGCUUGACGUCUUUUAGAGGGAUGGCCACUAUUUGAGGAAACACGGUAUGUAACAUGUCGAUGUAAAGAUGGGAAAACAUUUAGAAGGGGUGCAGAAGAACAGCAAACAGCGAUGGUGCUUUGAAACAAAAUGUAUGUAGACAAUCAUGCCAUAUGUACAUUGGAGUACCGUGCAGUCUCUUUAACGUGUUGUAUUUUCACUUUUAUUUCGUACGAAACCUUGUAAACAAUAAAUAUUUUCUCUUGGUGAUGAUGAUGAUGUGAUGCUUUCAUGUCAAAGUCACUGUGGUAGUUGCCAUAGUUAAGUACAAGUUUGUAGAAAGUUUCAACAGGUAGUAUGAAGAAGUGGAUAUAAAAAGUGUUCAAAUGACAGUUUUCUGUGCUAUAAAAAAAUCAGACCAAGAAAAAAAAGUCAAGUGGGCAACAUUUAUCACACGAUUACGUUGCCGUACAAUGUUAAUUAAACCAGUGUCCAUUUAAUGAAACGAAGUGCAGCGGGUAGACACCUUCGCUUGAUGCAAAAUCCUUACAGCAUCAACUUCAGUUCUAUCAUCGCCACCUAGCCACCUCUUCAAGCAGCAGAGCAGGUGAGGAGGAGGGAGGAGAAAUGGCAGUAAAACAGGCUAAAAUACAGGUGUCGGGGGCGGGGGCAGGGGCAGGGCAAGAGACUCGCUGAAUGCUACGUAUGGUUUAACCAAAUGUGAAACACUCGCAGAUGAAACCCUAUCUAGUGGGGAAGUAAAAAUUAAAAACUGAGAUGUUGUUGCACAAGUGUGCACACCAUCUUAUAAUUGGCAGAUUUGACUGUGUUCAGAAUUAACCAAUCACAUUCAUGUUAAAUGGAGUCAAAAGUCUGAUCGACCCCCAAUAAAAUUCAGGUGUUCUAAUAGUAUUUACCAGACAUUCUUUUUACGUAAUCCCAACAAUGUGUAUACCUCCUAAUAGUGUUUCACUUUUUGUACAAAUCCUCCAAAAUUCUUGUUGGAAUAGACUCUAGGAAGAGAUUAUAAUGUGGGUUCUCACUUAUCUACAAAAGCCUGGAAAUCUGUUCCCUGAAUUUUAAAAAUCUGCUUUGUGAUCUGUUUCCUGAUUUUCUGAUCUUUUCAAGUUUUCUUUUCAUGAACACAACACAACACUACAAAAUUAUUUAGGACAGCCGGGAAAAAAAAAGGUAUGACCCUAGAACAAACUAUUAUUUCCUAUGGGAAAUUGUGUUUGGCAUUCAGCCUUAGAAGUUCCACUCCAUAUUAAAUACAUUAAAGUGGACCAUGACUCUUUUAGGCUUUUAAUCCCCGAUUUGGGCUUUUGUAUUAUCUUGGCCUUGUGUUCCCACGAGAUCCAUCCAUGCUUUUCCCUCAGGAAAGCAGAAACAAUACCAUGUCCCGGUUUUUGGAAUGAGCUGUAAAGUAACGCUCUAAUAAUGCAAACACUCCUGUGAAUAGACUGGUAAGGCCGAGUGGAUCACGAGGCGCGUUCAAAGUGUUUACCUUAACACCUUUUACAGCCCCCCUCUCAUGGAACGCUGACCUUCUAAAUGACAUUUGCCUCCAGUUAAGCCGAGCAUGUUUGGCAUUUCAAGCGGCACUCCUCGUGCAGCCACCGCACCUUUGAUAGCCGCCGCGUGGCGCGCUAAAUAAAUAACGGGAGGACAAGGAUCAAUGCGCUUGUCUUGUCGCGGGAAAAGUCGGAUUACUCUUCCCGAGGCUUUAAUUGCUGUUUAUGAAGUUUCGCUCUCGCCGCUGCUUAGAUGCCCAUUGCCAGCGGGUUUGGGCGUUAAAUCAGCAGGUGGUUCGCUUCCCUGCUCAUUACUUUGAAGAGCCAUUGAGCAACACUAAAUGGCUCUCAGGGUAAUGUGCGAAAAAUGUACCUGUAAUUGUGCUAUUGAAGAAAAACACCAAUGAUUUGCUUCUCCAAAGGCACAGUUGAGCAAUGAAUACAGUUUUAUAUCAAUAAGUGAAAGUAUGCGAUAGAGAAAACAAAGGCUCACUUAAACAAAAACAUAUUUUAAAGUAUUCCUUAGUUCUUUUUCUCACGCUCUCGCUGUCAAGACAUUGGAGAUUAUCAUAUAACAUCACUUUGACAAAAUGAAAAAAAAGACUC